rnacentral:rRNA from 1 species
UACAGAGGGGGCAAGCGUUGUUCGGAAUUACUGGGCGUAAAGAGCUCGUAGGCGGUUUGUCGCGUCGGCUGUGAAAACUCGGGGCUCAACCCCGAGCCUGCAGUCGAUACGGGCAGACUAGAGUGCUGUAGGGGAGACUGGAAUUCCGCGUGUAGCAGUGAAAUGCGUAGAUAUCAGGAGGAACACCGAUGGCGAAGGCAGGUCUCUGGGCAUUAACUGACGCUGAGGAGCGAAAGCAUGGGGAGCGAACAGG